CCACCCAUCCCUACCCUCUCUCCCCUCUUCCUCUCUCACCACACCUCCCUCUCUUCUCUCCCUGUCUCCACCUCCGCCGGAACCACCGUUUUCUCCGGCGACCUCCUCCGUUCCAUCUCUGCCGCCGGUCCUCAGUUAUCAUCUCUCUCAAUCAUUCACUCCAGACCACUUCUCUCUCUUCAACUUCUAACCUCUUUCACCAAUCUCAAAACCCUAACCCUAACUCUCGCCGGAAAUGCCUCGCCGGACUCUGUUUCUGAUCUGUUCGUCAUUUCCUCUUCGUCGUACUCUUUAAUUUCAAGCUCUUUAACUUCUCAGUUGACCACCCUUACAAGCGAUUCAAUACCGAUCUCACACCAAGAAAGGCGACUUUAAAAUCCAUUGUCAAGGAAGAACUUGCAAAAAUGGCUGUUGAAGAAAUUGAAGCUGAGGAAACCAGAAAAGAAGCAUCAGAGUAGUCUUGUUGAAAAUUACCUACACAACAGAGGGCAUAAUUGGUAUUUUCUAUUAAUCUUUUAGUUCUUGCCAUCAUGUAGUGUUGGGUCUCUUUUAAUCAUUGUAAUCUAUUGUUAGAUAAACAAGUUUAUGUUCAGUUCACAAAAGACCUUGUUAAGAGAUAAAUUUUAGGUAUAUUUUUGCUUUUUGUGGAUGGUUUUACUUCUCUGGCGUCAGUAAACGAUGGAGGUCACGAUUGAAGACUGGAAACCACCAGAGUCGUUGUAGCCGUCUACAAACGAUGGCUUCGUCAUCUUUGUUUUCUGCCUUGGCGGUGUGUAGGUGGUGGCAGUUAAGUGGUGGUGGUGUUGUUGUUACACGGUGGAGAUGUAGAUAAAAGAAAGAUGAUGACUGAUUGUGUAUGGUGAGUUUAGAUCUUUAAAGUUUACUGAUGUUCUUGUGGAGGUGUAAGAUUUGUGGAGGUGAAUGAUGAGUCACAGGGAGAAAGAGAGAAAGAGGAUGGAGAUACACUUUAUGUUUAUUGUUUAUGUUUUGUGUGUAUACAUAUUAAAUUACUAAUAUACCCUCACAUGAGCUGCACAUGUUAUAUUUAACUUGAAAA